rnacentral:rRNA from 1 species
GAUGAACGCUGGCGGCGUGCCUAAUACAUGCAAGUCGAGCGAACAGACGAGGCGCUUGCUCCUCUGACGUUAGCGGCGGACGGGUGAGUAACACGUGGAUAACCUACCUAUAAGACUGGGAUAACUUCGGGAAACCGGAGCUAAUACCGGAUAAUAUAUUGAACCGCAUGGUUCAAUAGUGAAAGACGGUUUUGCUGUCACUUAUAGAUGGAUCCGCGCCGCAUUAGCUAGUUGGUAAGGUAACGGCUUACCAAGGCAACGAUGCGUAGCCGACCUGAGAGGGUGAUCGGCCACACUGGAACUGAGACACGGUCCAGACUCCUACGGGAGGCAGCAGUAGGGAAUCUUCCGCAAUGGGCGAAAGCCUGACGGAGCAACGCCGCGUGAGUGAUGAAGGUCUUCGGAUCGUAAAGCUCUGUUAGUAGGGAAGAACAAAUGUGUAAGUAACUAUGCACGUCUUGACGGUACCUAAACAGAAAGCCACGGCUAACUACGUG